AGCUUGCUUUUCUUGACUUAGUGGCGAACGGGUGAGUAACGCGUGAGUAACCUGCCCUGGAGUGGGGGACAACAGUUGGAAACGACUGCUAAUACCGCAUAAGCCCACGGAUCCGCAUGGAUCUGCGGGAAAAGGAUUUAUUCGCUUCAGGAUGGACUCGCGUCCAAUUAGCUAGUUGGUGAGGUAACGGCCCACCAAGGCGACGAUUGGUAGCCGGACUGAGAGGUUGAACGGCCACAUUGGGACUGAGACACGGCCCAGACUCCUACGGGAGGCAGCAGUGGGGGAUAUUGCACAAUGGGGGAAACCCUGAUGCAGCGACGCCGCGUGGAGGAAGAAGGUUUUCGGAUUGUAAACUCCUGUCGUUAGGGACGAUAAUGACGGUACCUAACAAGAAAGCACCGGCUAACUACGUGCCAGCAGCCGCGGUAAAACGUAGGGUGCAAGCGUUGUCCGGAAUUACUGGGUGUAAAGGGAGCGCAGGCGGACCGGCAAGUUGGAAGUGAAAACUAUGGGCUCAACCCAUAAAUUGCUUUCAAAACUGCUGGCCUUGAGUAGUGCAGAGGUAGGUGGAAUUCCCGGUGUAGCGGUGGAAUGCGUAGAUAUCGGGAGGAACACCAGUGGCGAAGGCGACCUCCUGGGCACCAACUGACGCUGAGGCUCGAAAGCAUGGGUAG
rnacentral:rRNA from 1 species